ACAUGAUUUCUACAAGGAUAGCAGUAUUAACAUUCAUGUAUAUCAGCAUUUCAUUGUUUUUAUAUAUGUGUGUGUGGUGAAUUAAAUUGGAGGCACUGGAUGGAAGGGAAUAAUUUUCAGCCCUAAUUCAUCCAUUAACACAUCAGCCAACAGCUGAAUUCUUUGACAUCUCCCAGUAUACACACUCAUUGUUUCUCCAGAUAUCUGCACACAUUUCAGAGUUUUUUCAUAGAUUUUGAAUCACUUCAGGAUCAAAAUGUU